rnacentral:rRNA from 1 species
AUUGAACGCUGGCGGCAUGCCUUACACAUGCAAGUCGAACGGCAGCACGGGAGCGAUCCUGGUGGCGAGUGGCGAACGGGUGAGUAAAGUAUCGGAACGUGCCCAGUCGUGGGGGAUAACGUAGCGAAAGUUACGCUAAUACCGCAUACGAUCUAUGGAUGAAAGCGGGGGAUCGCAAGACCUCGCGCGAUUGGAGCGGCCGAUAUCAGAUUAGGUAGUUGGGGGGGUAAAGGCUCACCAAGCCGACGAUCUGUAGCUGGUCUGAGAGGACGACCAGCCACACUGGGACUGAGACACGGCCCAGACUCCUGCGGGAGGCAGCAGUGGGGAAUUGUGGACAAUGGGCGAAAGCCUGAUCCAGCCAUGCCGCGGGCAGGAUGAAGGCCUUCGGGUUGUAAACUGCUUUUGUACGGAACGAAAAGGUUUGGCCUAAUAAGCUGAGCUCAUGACGGUACCGUAAGAAUGAGCACCGGCUAACUACGUGCCAGCCGCCGCGGUAA